GAAGGAUCUUUUCCUGGAGAUCACUCCUCCUGGAGAGUAUUGUGAGCCUACAACAUUGAUUCAGAGGUCUCACAGGACUUUCUGAAAGCCUCAAAGAGCACCGGAGAGCAAUGACUAGGGGCUAUCAGCAGCUGCCCAGCCUGUUUGCUCUGAGCCCUAGUGAACCGCUCUCCGUGCUCAGAAGGAACUUGGCUGGCUGAAGCCAUCCCUUGCUAGCAAGAGAAGGAAGAGACGCUGUGCUGAGACCAUGAAAGAGUGUGUGCUUUCACCCAGCUCCUCUCCCAUGCCUAUUUCAGCUUUGCUGGCAAAUCUAGGGAGCAUCCUUUAUUCUGGGACAUGGAGUGGAGCUGCUUUAAAAUCUAGGAAAAGCAAGACAAAGACAUGCAGAACAUGCUGCUUUGUGUGCUCUCCUGGUCUCAAUGGGAAAUGGUACUGGGAGAAUGGAGCCAGUGAAGAGCCCCUCCAGUUGACACAAAAGCUUCCAAAAUUGCGUAAUACCUUCAGGUCCACUCAAGUUUAUGCAUUCAGGUUGAAGAAAGCAAACAAGAACCAACAAACAGACCAAAAAAAAAGAAAAACCAACCACCAAAGCCUUGGUUUUGAGAAUUGCACUUAGCAGGAAAUGAAAAACAUUCAUUCUCACCAACUGUUCUCACUUGAAAAGUGUCCUCAACUGCUUCUAACCAAUCCUACUUCCUAAAAAAGAAGUGAGAAGCAGAAAUACUGUUUCCCCCCCCAAAACCUUGGGUUUUCACAGCCCACCUCUUGCCAGGACCAUGUCUUGUUUUACAAUCACAUGGCUCCUGUGACUUGGGGCUGUGGACACCCAAUGAAAACAGCUGCCAAGGACUCUGCACCUGCUGUUGCCUUAGUGAAUGAAUGGAAGAUAAGACCAAUGGGAGCAGCAGAACCAGCAAUGUGUUCAUGAUGAUGGGGACAGGAGGUAGAAAUCCAAAUGAUAGGGCUUUCAAACACUUUGCAGCUUUGGGAUAGAUCCUAAAACAAUUCAUAAUCCAGACAUCAUAUUCUCCCAAACCAAUUUACUGAAGUAACAAGAAACUGUGUUUCUCAUGGCACCCUGGGCGUGUUGUUAUACCAUGUAAUUUUCUUCUGCAAAAACCCAAUUAACUGUGCAUGUCUAUACCCAUUCUGCCAACUAUAUCAUUUUAUAAUUUUAGAACAGUGCAAACUGCCGGGGAGUUAUCAGUAAGAACUGCUUUGCAAUAAUUAAUAGAUGCAAAGAUUAAAGAAGGAGCAAGAUAGGCAAACAGAUUAACACAAUCAAUUAAAAUGUAGCUAUCUCCAGGCCCAGGAUUUGUUAAAAGUAAUUUGCUUAUUAACCUUUCCCCGUCUCUUCCUCUGUGACAGAGGGCAAGACAGAGGCUGAACAUGAGGUGAUGUGAGUGCUGUUUUGGAUUUCCAUCCCCUUGCUCCUAAGGGACUGGGACUUGAGUCCCAGCAAGCAGCUGUAAUUGCAGUUUGGGAAUCUCAAACCCCUCUUCACAUCUGAACAACAGGUGACAGAGUCAUGCUG